rnacentral:rRNA from 1 species
UCGAGAGUUUGAUCCUGGCUCAGGAUGAACGCUAGCGGCAGGCUUAACACAUGCAAGUCGAGGGGUAUAGUUCUUCGGAGCUAGAGACCGGCGCACGGGUGCGUAACGCGUAUGCAAUCUACCUUUACAGAGGGAUAGCCCAGAGAAAUUUGGAUUAAUACCUCAUAGUAUGUGAGAAUCGCAUGGUUUUACACAUUAAAGUUCCAACGGUAAAAGAUGAGCAUCG